GCGUAGACGUCGUCGUCGAGGGGACUAACAGCGAAAAGGGCUGCUUUGUCUCAGAAUAUUUAGAUUUCCAAGGAAGAUGUCCCUAUUGAAAAUAUUGGACUUGGAUUAUAUGUGUUUUCCUGCUCUAGCAGGAUUUUUAUGGUGAAGUAAAAGCUGGGAUGUAAAACAUACAAGUGAGCAUUAAAAGCAGCCUUUUAAGGAAAGGAA